UACUUGAAUAAAAGUUUUUCAAUGAAGGACCUUGGAGAAGCUGCUUAUAUAUUAGGCAUCAAAAUCUAUAGAGAUAGAUCGAGACGCCUCAUAGGUCUUUCACAAAGCACAUACCUUGAUAAGAUAUUGAAGAAGUUCAAUAUGGAUCAAUCCAAGAAGGGGUUCUUGCCUGUGUUACAAGGUAUGAAAUUGAGCUCAGCUCAAUGUCCGACCACGGCAGAAGAUAUAGAAGAGAUGAGCGUCAUCCCCUAUGCCUCAGCCAUAGGUUCUAUUAUGUAUGCCAUGCUGUGUACCAGACGUGAUGUAAACCUUGCCGUAAGUUUGGUAGGA
rnacentral:rRNA from 1 species